rnacentral:rRNA from 1 species
UACGGGGGGAGCAAGCGUUGUUCGGAUUUACUGGGCGUAAAGGGCGCGUAGGCGGUCUGUUAAGUUCGGUGUGAAAGCCCCCGGCUUACCCGGGGAACUGCGCCGGAAACCGACAGACUCGAGUACCGGAGAGGAGGGUGGAAUUCCUGGUGUAGCGGUGAAAUGCGUAGAUAUCAGGAGGAACACCGGUGGCGAAGGCGGCCCUCUGGACGGAUACUGACGCUGAGGCGCGAAAGCGUGGGGAUCAAACAGG